AUUGAACGCUGGCGGCAUGCCUUACACAUGCAAGUCGAACGGCAGCGCGGGGCAACCUGGCGGCGAGUGGCGAACGGGUGAGUAAUAUAUCGGAACGUACCCUGGAGUGGGGGAUAACGUAGCGAAAGUUACGCUAAUACCGCAUACGAUCUAAGGAUGAAAGCAGGGGACCGCAAGGCCUUGUGCUCCAGGAGCGGCCGAUAUCUGAUUAGCUAGUUGGUGGGGUAAAGGCCUACCAAGGCAUCGAUCAGUAGCUGGUCUGAGAGGACGACCAGCCACACUGGAACUGAGACACGGUCCAGACUCCUACGGGAGGCAGCAGUGGGAAUUUUGGACAAUGGGCGCAAGCCUGAUCCAGCAAUGCCGCGUGAGUGAAGAAGG
rnacentral:rRNA from 1 species